ACAAAAAGAAAGACCCUAGCUGUCUGAAUGAUCUGAGCUAAGUCCCCAGACGUGCAAGUGUGGCCAUCCUAGACCACUGAGCUCCAGCCAAGCCAGCUUGCAUCAGAAGAACUGUCCAGAAAACUCACAGAAUCAUAAGAAAUAAUGCAGCGCAGCUUAACUUGGACUCACCACCUAUCAAGUGCUCGACAGCCACGUGUGCAGUGGUUCCUACGUGGAGCAGCAUACAUCCAGAGAUGCAAAUAUUAAUGAGGACAGUGCUAGUAACAGAGUUGCUGAGCAAUCUAUGUCCCCUUGUAAGAACCAGUGCCCCAGGGGAAGAAACAGAACUCCACAAGGUAGCAGUGUGGGUGUAGUACCCGCAUGUGCCCAUGUUAUGGGAAUGUAGAUGGGGAGUGACCACCGCCAACAGAAGUGUGGCCAUCUUGCCCGAGAUGCCUGAGGACCUCCUAUUUUUAGAUGCUGCUGCCCAAGGCCUGUAUUUCAUGCUAUGGCUUUUGUCAUUUGAAUUAUCAGUAGCUGUCUCGGAGCUAUUAC
rnacentral:lncRNA from 1 species